rnacentral:rRNA from 1 species
GACGAACGCUGGCGGCGUGCUUAACACAUGCAAGUCGAACGGAAAGGCCCUGCUUUUGUGGGGUGCUCGAGUGGCGAACGGGUGAGUAACACGUGAGUAACCUGCCCUUGACUUUGGGAUAACUUCAGGAAACUGGGGCUAAUACCGGAUAGGAGCUCCUGCUGCAUGGUGGGGGUUGGAAAGUUUCGGCGGUUGGGGAUGGACUCGCGGCUUAUCAGCUUGUUGGUGGGGUAGUGGCUUACCAAGGCUUUGACGGGUAGCCGGCCUGAGAGGGUGACCGGCCACAUUGGGACCGAGAUACGGGCCAGACUCCUACGGGAGGCAAGCGGGGGGAAUAUUGCAACAUGGGGGGAAGCCUGAUGCAGCAAAGCCGCGUGCGGGAUGACGGCCUUCGGGUUGUAAACCGCUUUCGCCUGUGACGAAGCGUGAGUGACGGUAAUGGGUAAAGAAGCACCGGCUAACUACGUG